UGGGGAAUUUUGCACAAUGGGGGGAACCUUGAUGCAGCGACGCCGCGUGAGGGAUGGAGGCCUUCGGGUUGUGAACCUCUUUCGCUCGUGUGCAAGCCGCUAUUUGGGUAGUGGUGAGUGUAGCGGGUAAAGAAGCGCCGGCUAACUACGUGCCAGCAGCCGCGGUAAUACGUAGGGCGCGAGCGUUGUCCGGAUUUAUUGGGCGUAAAGGGCUUGUAGGCGGUUUGUCGCGCCUGUCGUGUAAUCCUCUGGCUUAACUGGGGGUGUGCGGUGGGUACGGGCAAGCUUGAGUGCGGUAGGGGAGGUUGGAAUUCCUGGUGUAGCGGUGGAAUGCGCAGAUAUCAGGAGGAACACCGGUGGCGAAGGCGGGUCUCUGGGCCGUUACUGACGCUGAGGAGCGAAAGCGUGGGGAGCGAACAGG
rnacentral:rRNA from 1 species